rnacentral:tRNA from 1 species
AAGGAUAUAGCUUAGUGGUAGAGUGCCUGCCUGGCAUGCAUGAGGCCAUGGGUUCAAUCCCCAGUACCAUAA